rnacentral:rRNA from 1 species
UACAGAGGUCUCAAGCGUUGUUCGGAUUCAUUGGGCGUAAAGGGUGCGUAGGCGGCACGGUAAGUCGGGUGUGAAAUCUCGGGGCUUAACUCCGAAACUGCAUUCGAUACUGCCGUGCUUGAGGACUGGAGAGGAGACUGGAAUUUACGGUGUAGCGGUGAAAUGCGUAGAUAUCGUAAGGAAGACCAGUGGCGAAGGCGGGUCUCUGGACAGUUCCUGACGCUGAGGCACGAAGGUCAGGGGAGCAAACGGG